AAUACACUGAAAAGAAUACCAAAUAUAAUACAAUUAAUUGCAACCCAAAUGAUUAUCAAAUAUAUAUCCGAAAAUCUUUGUAAGUUUUUUUUUAACGUGCGAGUACCACGGCCACAUGUCUCACCCUGCGGACCGAUGGGCGCUGCCGCGUAUCGUGCGGUUUGAAUUGCGGACAGAUAGACGCGAUAUAGAAAAGAGAAAAGAAGACGAGGAAAUAAAUAAAAUAUAGAUAGAUAUUAGUAAGAUCUUAUUAUGUGCUAAAAAUGUUAGAAAUUAUUGAAUUAAGAGUGCCAAGAUUACAUAUAAUAGGAUAUAGUCAUAAUAGGAUAUUUAGUCAGAAUAUAAUAUAAUAAUAUAAUUAAGAGACUGGCAGAUUCCGCUGGAAGCAGAAAGUCGGAUGCAUACAACACUCACGGUGCCAAGAAACCUGCCUAUUUCAAGCGAAAGUGAUGCCGUUCGGACUACAUUUGGAGUAGGCGAUGUUUCAGCAGGCAUUGGACCAAUAGGACCCGAGAUGAUAACACACACCUUCGCAUAUCAGGAAGAUAUUUAGUGAACGGACGGACGCUACAGGAGCACAUGUACAGCCUAAAUUUUUAUUGCAGACAGACGCCAGCGAGCUUGACGCUUUUCUCACAGAACAGUCAGUUCCAGGCGCGGGAGUGAUAUCCUACUCCAGAGGAUCACUAAAUAAAACGGCGAAGAGCAGCUCUAAAACGGAAUUUGAGUGUUUAGGAACAGUGUUGGCCGUCAAGAAAUUGAAAGCAUACCGCAUACUGCGACUCCCACAGUACGAUUUCCGUAUUUCGUGUAGAAAGGUGAAGCUGAACGUCGUAGCGGACGCGCUAUCGAGGCAACCACUUAAAAAAAAAAACCGCAGGAUAAGAUUAAGACCGAAGGAGAAAGGGAAACAAAGCGAGCAACAGGAAUGUCGGUGAGUGGACGAAAUGCGGGGAAAGGUUAAGUAGGAUCCACAGAAACACCCGGACUAUCUGGUGGAGACCGGUCGGCUGAAUUUACACAUUCCACACAGGACAGUAAACGAGGAUGUGGUGUCGUAGAAGCUGUGUGCACCGAGCGGGGAAAAACAGCGCGUCAUGUAGACAGCAGGACAUCUGGGCAAUUGAAAGACGAUUACAAGGGUUUCAGCCAGUUAGAAAUGGAUGUGAGAAAAUUGGUGAGGAACUUCAAAAGUUUUGUGAAACGCAAGGCAAAUUAAGUGAAGGUGGCUGGGAACCAUGAGCCAGAUGGAUCCAGGUUCUUUCUCCAGUUUGGAGCCGCAGCCGCCGCCGCUGCCACCAACGCUGCCUCCGAAGCUGCCACCGACGUCACCCCCGAAACUGCCAAUACCACGACCGAUUACGCCAUCACCUCUGCCGUGUCGGGCGGCCAGGGUCAUGGGGGCGGAAUUAAGCGAGCGAAAAUCACAAGAAUAAAUUUUUUGUUUGAUGGGUCAGGGAAGGGUAAGGAUGGCACUGCACUACACUGAAAAAAGGUGGUGCGGGUUUCAUUCGCAGCAGCCAUGAAGGAUCGCGCGGGGUGGAACGACACGCAGGCCAGGCAACCGGGGGCGCAAAUAGGCUGCCACUGGAACGCGACCAGAAGGGACCAGGGCCGUCCACCCCGGAGCACAAAGUGGCUUCAGUACGGGGAAAUGCUAAAAGGAAGAGAUGCGUAAAUAUGUCGCAGUUUUACUCACAAAACUUCAAUAGUUACCAUCGUCAUCGUUACCACCAGCAACGCUGGGAGAACACGUGGAGAAAAUCGGGAUAGUUCAAUUGAAAGGAAUACAAAAUGGAAUAAAAAUACACAUGGAUUUAACAAGGCGCGACAGGUUCUGAUAGUCCGGAGAAGAGCCCAAGAAAGUUCUAAUAGGCUGAGACUGCAAGGUUGGGAAGAGGAUGCGCAGAAGAAACAAGGAAGAAUGGCUAUGCGAGAAGACAUUCAUACGGAGAACCGAUAGGUAACCACCAGUAACUAGGGAUUAGUCAGUGAGAACGCGCGAACCUGUCAAUCAUUCACGUAAGCCAAUCAAGAUCACUGAAUCCAGCCACUAAACGACGAGGGAGUCUACAAGGCUGAGGCUAAAGUUGAGAUCCCCACGGUGAGGGUGCUACAGUAGGAGACGACAGAGACCUGAAGUUGUCAGUAAAGGAUUAUGGUGUCCUUGGUUGGGCUUGUGUAACAGAAGCGGCCAUAACAGGCGUGUGUUUUGGUGUUUCCAUCGGUGGAUCAGA